rnacentral:rRNA from 1 species
UCCGGUAGCAAUGGCAAAGAGGCCACACCCGUUCCCAUCUCGAACACACCCGAUUAUAUGUUUUGGUAAGCUCUUUAGCGUCGAUGGUACUGCAUGGGUGACUGUGUGGGAGAGUAGAUCGCUGCCGGAU